AAUGAGUGAACCCGGCAGAAAUAAACGGUAUUGCAUUUUCAGCUGUGCGGAUUUGGGUGCACCCAUGCACGGUAUUCCUCAUCCGGAAAGAAAAGUCGAGUUAUUUGCUAUUUGGCUGUCAAUUGCUGGAUAGAAACUGAAGGAGACUGACCCUUGGAAGAUAUAUAAAAAGGUUCAUCACAGUUCCUGCACAAGGAAAGUAAAUCUGCACAAAAGGACAUCAGAAGUUUAAAGAACAAGUUGAGGAAGUCAGUGAAACAGGCAGGACAUAAAAAAGCAAGACUCGCCACGGUUUCUAACCUGUUACAUAGAUCUGACGAUAUGGCAAGAUUUACAAAAAAUAUGAGCCGAUCAUGCCGCAUUUUUACGGGCAUGCAAUAACGCCAAGCAUCAAAAAAACCAAAAGGAAGAAGAUAUAACAUGGAAGAAAAAGUAUUGGCGCUAUCCAU